rfam:Cajanus cajan Scaffold000321_36, whole genome shotgun sequence.
UAGAGAAACAUCAUUGAGUGCAGCGUUGAUGAAGAUUCUCUCUCACUUGUGUCUCUCAGGAAGAUGUUUCAUGGUGUUAGUGUCAUCAAUGCUGCACUCAAUCAUGUUUUUC